AACGAACGCUGGCGGCAUGCCUAACACAUGCAAGUCGAACGAGACCUUCGGGUCUAGUGGCGCACGGGUGCGUAACGCGUGGGAACCUGCCCUUAGGUUCGGAAUAACUCCCCGAAAGGGGUGCUAAUACCGGAUAAUGUCUUCGGACCAAAGAUUUAGCGCCUUUGGAUGGGCCCGCGUUGGAUUAGCUAGUUGGGAGGGUAAAAGCCUACCAAGGCGACGAUCCAUAACUGGUCUGCGAGGCUGAUCAGCCACACUGGGACUGAGACACGGCCCAGAAUCCUGCGGGAGGCAGCAGUGGGGAAUAUUGGACAAUCGGCGAAAGCCUGAUCCAGCAAUGCCGCGUGAGUGAUGAAGGCCUUAGGGUUGUAAAGCUCUUUUACCCGGGAUGAUAAUGACAGUACCGGGAGAAUAAGCUCCGGCUAACUCCGUG
rnacentral:rRNA from 1 species